GUCAAGACCAGGCGCGUCGUUAGCAAUUGAAAACAUCCGGGGCUUUAGCCCUGGGGGGAGCACCGUCCUGACUCCUGCGUGCUACGGUAUCUUAAUUAAUUAAAUAAUUAAUUAAUUAAUUAAUUAAUGUAUCGAUUAAUUAAUUAAGGGCGCCCCCAACACAUAGGUCGCCUAUGCCGAGCGCCAGGGCAAAAAUAAGACAUUAGAAUAGCCUAUAUAGCCUGCGUGCACCUACCCGAUGUCAAGAAGCCAUCGCUGCUCCGACGGACCUUUCUCCCCCAGCCAGGCAACGGCAAUUAACUACAGCCGCCCUUCCUGGGUAACGCCACCACCAAUCCCUGGUCAUCCAUUGAAGCCAUCUCUCUCACUCUGUACAGUCACACUGUUGCCGCUUCAUUCUCAUUGUCUCAUAAUCUCAUUAUUAUGGCUGCUGUGGAUGCUUUAAAAAAUAAACAUUUUUCUCUUAGGUAAAAUCAAACCAGUGGGAUGUUAGAUUGAAAACCUCCAAAGCAAUGUAUUAAAAAUUGAAAGACAGUCCUA